UACGUAGGGUGCGAGCGUUGUCCGGAAUUAUUGGGCGUAAAGAGCUUGUAGGCGGUUUGUCGCGUCUGCUGUGAAAUCUCAAGGCUCAACCUUGAGCUUGCAGUGGGUACGGGCAGACUAGAGUGUGGUAGGGGAGACUGGAAUUCCUGGUGUAGCGGUGAAAUGCGCAGAUAUCAGGAAGAACACCCGUGGCGAAGGCGGCUCUCUGGAACGCAACUGACGCUGAGACGCGAAAGCGUGGGGAGCAAACAGG
rnacentral:rRNA from 1 species